AGAGUUUGAUCAUGGCUCAGGACGAACGCUGGCGGCGUGCUUAACACAUGCAAGUCGAGCGGUAAGGCCCUUCGGGGUACACGAGCGGCGAACGGGUGAGUAACACGUGGGUGACCUGCCUCAGCUCUGGGAUAAGCCUGGGAAACUGGGUCUAAUACCGGAUAUUCACAUUCUCUCGCAUGGGGGUGUGUGGAAAGUUUUUUCGGCUGGGGAUGGGCCCGCGGCCUAUCAGCUUGUUGGUGGGGUGAUGGCCUACCAAGGCGACGACGGGUAGCCGGCCUGAGAGGGCGACCGGCCACACUGGGACUGAGACACGGCCCAGACUCCUACGGGAGGCAGCAGUGGGGAAUAUUGCGCAAUGGGCGGAAGCCUGACGCAGCGACGCCGCGUGGGGGAUGACGGCCUUCGGGUUGUAAACCUCUUUCGACCGGGACGAAGAGUGAUUGACGGUACCGGUAGAAGAAGCACCGGCCAACUACGUGCCAGCAGCCGCGGUAACACGUAGGGUGCGAGCGUUGUCCGGAAUUAUUGGGCGUAAAGAGCUCGUAGGCGGUGUGUCGCGUCGGCCGUGAAAACCUGGGGCUUAACUCUGGGCUUGCGGUCGAUACGGGCAUCACUUGAGUUCGGCAGGGGAGACUGGAAUUCCUGGUGUAGCGGUGAAAUGCGCAGAUAUCGGAGGAACACCGGUGGCGAAGGCGGGUCUCUGGGCCGAUACUGACGCUGAGGAGCGAAAGCGUGGGGAGCGAACAGGAUUAGAUACCCUAGUAGUCC
rnacentral:rRNA from 1 species